rnacentral:rRNA from 1 species
UGUGCCAGCAGCCGCGGUAAUACGUAGGGUCCAAGCGUUAAUCGGAAUUACUGGGCGUAAAGCGUGCGCAGGCGGUUGUGCAAGACCGAUGUGAAAUCCCCGAGCUUAACUUGGGAAUUGCAUUGGUGACUGCACGGCUAGAGUGUGUCAGAGGGGGGUAGAAUUCCACGUGUAGCAGUGAAAUGCGUAGAGAUGUGGAGGAAUACCGAUGGCGAAGGCAGCCCCCUGGGAUAACACUGACGCUCAUGCACGAAGCGUGGGGAGCAACAGGAUUAGAUAC